AAGCGACUAAGCGUACACGGUGGAUGCCUUGGCAGUCAGAGGCGAUGAAGGACGUGCUAAUCUGCGAUAAGCGCCGGUAAGGUGAUAUGAACCGUUAUAACCGGCGAUUUCCGAAUGGGGAAACCCAGUGUGAUUCGUCACACUAUCAUUAACUGAAUCCAUAGGUUAAUGAGGCGAACCGGGGGAACUGAAACAUCUAAGUACCCCGAGGAAAAGAAAUCAACCGAGAUUCCCCCAGUAGCGGCGAGCGAACGGGGAGGAGCCCAGAGCCUGAAUCAGCAUGUGUGUUAGUGGAAGCGUCUGGAAAGGCGCGCGAUACAGGGUGACAGCCCCGUACACAAAAGCGCAUAUGCUGUGAGCUCGAUGAGUAGGGCGGGACACGUGGUAUCCUGUCUGAAUAUGGGGGGACCAUCCUCCAAGGCUAAAUACUCCUGACUGACCGAUAGUGAACCAGUACCGUGAGGGAAAGGCGAAAAGAACCCCGGCGAGGGGAGUGAAAAAGAACCUGAAACCGUGUACGUACAAGCAGUGGGAGCACAGGUUUACCUGUGUGACUGCGUACCUUUUGUAUAAUGGGUCAGCGACUUAUAUUCUGUAGCAAGGUUAACCGCAUAGGGGAGCCGGAGGGAAACCGAGUCUUAAUUGGGCGUUAAGUUGCAGGGUAUAGACCCGAAACCCGGUGAUCUAGCCAUGGGCAGGUUGAAGGUUGGGUAACACUAACUGGAGGACCGAACCGACUAAUGUUGAAAAAUUAGCGGAUGACCUGUGGCUGGGGGUGAAAGGCCAAUCAAACCGGGAGAUAGCUGGUUCUCCCCGAAAGCUAUUUAGGUAGCGCCUCGUGAACUCAUCUUCGGGGGUAGAGCACUGUUUCGGCUAGGGGGUCAUCCCG
rnacentral:rRNA from 1 species